rnacentral:rRNA from 1 species
UACGUAGGGCGCAAGCGUUGUCCGGAAUUAUUGGGCGUAAAGAGCUCGUAGGCGGUUUGUCGCGUCUGCUGUGAAAGCCCGGGGCUCAACCCCGGGUCUGCAGUGGAUACGGGCAGACUAGAGGCAGGUAGGGGAGAAUGGAAUUCCCGGUGUAGCGGUGAAAUGCGCAGAUAUCGGGAGGAACACCGGUGGCGAAGGCGGUUCUCUGGGCCUGUACUGACGCUGAGGAGCGAAAGCGUGGGGAGCGAACAGG